CAUUCUUGACAGAUUCAAAACUACCCUUAAGAUUCUGGAGGAAGUCUUUUAAGUUGCUGAACAUGGGCAGACCACAUUAGUAAGCACAGACACUUUCGUGUCCUCUUUAUGAGACCCCGCGUGUGACUGGUGGUUAGUGCAGCUUGCGCCUACCGACCCUCAAUCCGUUCUACAUACCACGUGACGCUACUACCAUGGUAACUGAUUGUUAUUCUCCGUUCAUGAAGGUAAUACGUUCCCGUACUCAAGGGGAAGUCCAAGGAUUGAAUUCAGCGGAACACCAUUUCUAACUACUGUGCGUGUCUAGUGUCAGAGUUCCGGAAUUUCGCCACGACCAGAAGACAUUCCAGCACGGCUGGCUGGUACUUCAUUAAGGAAUGUUCAAUAAUUGAGUGAAAGACGUGAAAAUAUGUUUGCAAGCAAAUUAUUCAGUCACGAGAUGAUUCAGAAAUGUUGAUUUCUUCUUGGCAUCGGUCCUAGAUACUCGUUUUCCACUAACUAAGUUCCUAAUCAGCAAGAACAACGAGCAGAUAGUAAAUCCUGGUUCAGUGUAGACUACUUUCGGCCUCUACGGUUUUCUUGAUCAAGUCCAAUUCAGUCCACAAAUUCACAUUGCUGUCACUUGCAUCCGUCUUAAUGUGAUUUUCCCAUCUACGCCUCUGUCUCUCGAGUGGUCUCUUUCCUUGAGGGUUUCUGAUAAAAAUUUAGAAAGGAUUUCUUACUUCCUCCAUAAAUGCUGCAUGCCUAAUCCAUCGCAUUGCUUUUCUGUGAAGUUCGUCGUUAUGAAAUCUUCAUCAAUCAUUUGCUACUUCUUCUCUACUAGGAAAUUUAUUUUUCAUAAUCGAUGUUAUUCUUCACUCCAUCAUAAAACAUGUUACGAUGGUUCAAUACCAUUCAUACCCCAUUCGAUAUCCUGCAGCCAACAACUUCUAUUGCUGAUAAUGUUGACAGUUUUCAAUCAGCUUGCCCUACAGAGACUCUUUACGUUCCUAAUUGCUAACCAUAAUUCCGUUUCGGUUGAAACUGUACUGAAUAUGACGAAUAUAAAAUUCGAAUCACGUUUGUUUUCUAAUCAACCCGUGUCAGUUUUUUAAAGCACCUACAAAUAUACUAAUCCGCGGUAUCCGUUCAUAAGAUAACUUAUAAACUCAAUAACAAUAUCUAUUUUCCACACUUCAGGCACUUAACAUUUCCUUUGUUCGGAGUUUCUUUUCUAGCACAGACGACUAAUAAAUGCUUUUGUUCUUUUAGUGUUCCUGUCAGAUUUAGGAUUAGGGAAAAAAUAUGUUUUAUCACCGUAUUUUAAGAUUUUGUUGCUAAUAUAAAAAUUCAACUUUAACUGGAAUUGGACGGUGAAAGUAAACAGUUUUGUUACUUUCGUCUCCUGGACAGGCUAUCUUCUUGUGGUGCGAAAUGUAGGAAAAUGUCUUAUGACUUAAACUCAUGUCACUUUCAGAGAUACUCUAUUAUACACCAUGCAUAAAAUUCAGGCUUUCCCAAUUUUCUCACUUUAUUUGCAGUCUGAAAUGUCGUAAAAACAGGGAUGAAUUGGUGGACGUACUAAUGGACACACAGACGAUUCUGUAUUAUUAUACACAGAUUAAUUUGUAGUACUGGUGGAAACAAUUACAUACCAACAUAUCUUUAACCAUCUUCGUCACAAUCUGAUUAUUUUAUAACCACAUCAACCGAGUCGUUUCAGUACCAGGGUACCGUGAAUGACCCAGCCUUGACCUCAGCGUGGGAAUAUUGCCAAAUUCUCAACACCGACCCAAUCCUGCAUUAACCAGGUUGCUCUGCUUCCACGCUAGGUCACUGAAUAAAAUAUUGGGUCACUAUGAAAGUUAAACCUGAGUAUAUCAACAUCGAGUCACGUGAUAUGAGUUCAUUGAUCACGACGACUUCGCCGGCCGGAAAGUGGCCUCACCAUUUUCGUCCCUGACGUACGUUCCACUUAAAGUCGCAGAUAGGAGGAUAGUAUUAAUACUUGUCAUGGGAGAAACAGGUUAAAAUAAUGUGAAGUGGGCUAAAAUUGUUUGUUAUGCAACCAUAUUAACAUAGAGAAACGUAUUACUUAUUUUGGCAUAGACACUUCGGGUAUUUUGCUAAAACAAUAAAUUGACGUCCAAAAAUUUCUCAACAACCGCAAAUGACACUUCAAAGAAAAUUUUGUUGUUUGCAGCAGUUAUAUUGAUUUAAAAAGACGUAAUAUCUGUAAAUCCUUAAAUGUUCUCUUUGGCCUUACUUGCAAAGUUGUAUUUUUCAGACUUACAAAACAUUUGCCAACUUCCUCCACACCUUGAAAGAAAACUCUGUCAAGACUGCAAAACAGAACAGUCCACAAGUCCAGCUGAUUGUUUACACGUUUAGGCAUACAUUUUUUCACAGAAUACAGCUAUACGAUAAAGCCGUCAGAUAACCGCGAACUUCCUGACUAAAUGAAUUUGUAGCUUCAGGAUUUUACGUCACGGGGCCUUCGUGACUUUUUUGUAGGCACACACAAUGCGACCAACUGAUUCCUUGUAGAUCACUUAAACCUAACUGGCCUCUCACAUACAGAUCGUUCCAUUGAAAAGCUUCCAUCACUACUACAGCAUUUAUAAGCUUUGGUGACAUUAAUAUAACAAGACAAACAAAUUGUUUUUUAAGCUUUUAUUUGUUAGGAAGAACUUACAAAACAACUUUACAGCAAAUGCUGAUAAAGUCCACAACCAUCGCCCUUUUUAGCGUGUUUGCGACUGUGU